ensembl:lncRNA
UAGGGAGAACCACAGAGGCUUGCAUCACAAAGGUCAAUUCAAUAGAGAGCACACAGUUCUGAAGAGCUGAGUCCCACCCAGAGUGAAGGUAUGAGCCAUCCCAGAAGACUUCCCAGAGGAGGAACCACAAGUGUGAUGCGCAGGUUCCUUUUAGAACAUGACACCACGGAAAGAGCAACAAUCUCUGGCCUCGACAUUCCCGCUUUUCCUGGUGAGACACACAUGUGCACAACGGGUCCUAAAAAAUAACCCAAAGCACAGAUGUUUAAUCCACCAACACCAAAGGUCUGCUAGAAAUAUCUCACUUUCUACAAUGGCCCUUGGACUGCAAGGAGAUCCAGCCAGUCCAUUCUAAAGAUCAGUCCUGCGUGUUCUUUGGAAGGAAUGAUGCUAAAGCUGAAACUCCAAUACUUUGGUUGCCUCAUGCGAAGAGUUGACUCAUUGGAAAAGACUCUGAUGCUGGGAGGGAUUGGGGGCAGGAGGAGAAGGGGACGACAGAGGAUGAGAUGGCUGGGUGGCAUCACCGGCUCAAUGGAUGUGAGUUUGAGUGGACUCCGGGAGUUGGUGAUGGACAGGGAGGCCUGGAGUGCUGCAAUUCAUGGGGUCACAAAGAGUCGGAUACGACUGAGCGACUGAACUGGAAUGACAAGUAAUGUUGCCCAUCUUUUC